ensembl:lncRNA
AAAUAAUUUAUUAAAAAAAAGUAGUACAAAUGAAAUAAGUAAUAUGACACUAGGAAUAGAUGCGCUAUAUUUUUUACGGACGUUAGAUGACUUGAAGGACACACUUAGCAAUGUUUCUGGAUGUAUAUCUCCAUGUAUAUUUCAUAUUAUAGAUAAUCAGUGUGAGUAUUUUAAAAAGUUAAAUAUUAAUGUUAUAUUUGUAUUUGAUGGUAUAACCCCUAGGUCCCACAAACUAUUUUAUGCACAGUAUUAUAGGAAUUUAGAAGAAGGUUGGAAUUAUUAUGUUAACGGUGAAAUGAAUUUAUCAAAACAAAAUUUUUCUAAAGUAUCUAACAUAUAUAAUACUGACUUGGCUUUUUUAUUAUUCCAUUAUUUAAAAGGAAAAGGAUAUAAAUGUAUAUAUGCACCAUACCUAGCAAUAUCACAAUUAGCUUAUUUUGUUUAUACAAAUUUUGUAGACGCAGUAUUAGGACCACCUACUAUAGUUUUACAUAACAUUCCAAUUGUUAUACUUAAUAUUGUUUGGAAAAAAAAAUACUUUGAAUGGUUAGAUUUACCAAUACUAUUAAAACAAUUGGAUAUUAACAGAGAGCAAUUUAUAGAUGCUUGUUUAUUAGCAGGAACAGAAUAUUGCUUAACAUAUCCGUAUUUAAGUUUAUCUCAGUUUAACAGUGGUAUGAACGAUUUUAAUUUUGGAACGGCAAUAGAAUUCAUAAAACAAUCACCUUUAAUUAGUUAUUUACAACAUUUUCCAAGUGAGGCCUUAAAAAAUACACAUAUAGAAGGAUAUUGUAUUUGUAAAUCUUUAAUAAAAUAUCCUAUUGUUUUGUUAGCCAAUGGACAAAUUGAUAUUUAUUUAUGUGACGACAAUAACAUUAUUUCUUCUACUAAUGUAUUAGAAUCUGAUUAUUUGACUACAAACAUGAUUAGCAAAGAAGGGGAAAAGUGUGCUGUAAAAAGUGAUAUUAAUAAUAAUCGUAGUGAUGGUAAUAAUAGUGGUGGUAGUAACAGUAACAGUAACAGUAACAGCAACAACAACAGCGUCUGUAGUAGUACGCAGGUCCAAGAAAAUAUGCAGGAAGAUGCAGAUUAUAAAAAUGAAAAAACAGAUGAAAAAAAAAAUGAAAAAAAAAAUGAAAAAAAAAANNNNNNNNNNNNNNNNNNNNNNNNNNNNNNNNNNNNNNNNNNNNNNNNNNNNNNNNNNNNNNNNNNNNNNNNNNNNNNNNNNNNNNNNNNNNNNNNNNNNGAAAAAAAAAAUGAGAACACAGUAAAUACAAAAAAAAAAGAUACAAACACAUUAAAUGGUAAAUUAGAAAAUGAAAAUCAAGUGGAUAAUAAUGUAAAUCAAAAUAUUUUAACAUGUAACGAAGGAAGUGAAAAACAAAAUGAAGAACACAAUUUUGAUAAAUCUAAUAAUGAUAUUAUUAUCGAUAGUAAAAAAAAAAUUAAUUCCGAAAGCGUUGUUAAUGUAAUAAAUUCAAAAAACAACCAAGUGAAUAUAUGUGGCAAUGAAUGUAACACAGAAGUCAAAGAUAGUACUAUUGAUUCUAAGACUGCUACUGCUACUGCUACUGCUGCUGCAACUGAUACCGAUAUUAGUAGUAAUCAUAAGAAUUCGGAUGCGUUGUCUAGCUGUACAUCGCAACGUUUAUCCCAGAAUGAGAUAACUAAUAGUAGUGGCAGUAACAAGAAAAACAAAAGUAACAGCAACGGUGGUAACAACGACAAAAUAAACCAUAAAAGUGAUGAAUAUGAAUACAGCCACGAAGCCAAUACUGCUUCUGUUGCUGCUGCUGCUGCUACUACCGCUACUACCGCUACUACCACUACUACUAAUAAAAGCAGCAACGACAACAUAGUAGAUAACGUUGAAAAAGGCACAAACACAAACAUGAUCCAAAACAGUUUUACUGAUGAAAUUAAAAAAAAAAUCAACGAAACGACAAUGACAACGGCAACGGCAACGGCAACGGCAGCGAUAACCACAACCGAAUCCAAAUGUACAAGCGAUGACAAAGUUACAGCAAAUAAUAAUAAUAAUGAAAGUGGUUAUGAUGUUAAUAAUAAAAGUGUUAAAUUGGUGCCAUAUGAUUAUAUAAAAAUAAUAGGUGUAAAAUUACCUGCAUCUGUUUAUUAUUUAAUGUCUAUUGGUUUUUUAAGUAAAAAAAUUUUAUGCGUAUUAGCUUUAGGAGAGUGGAUUGAUUAUGCACAUCCAAUUAUAGAUUCAUUUGAAUACAGAGAAUCAUUAAUAGAUUUGAGAGAGUAUAGAUGCAAGAUAUUAGGAUUAGUUUCAAGUAAAUUAAAUCCUUAUUUUUAUAAAAGAAAAAUAAAAUUUUUCGAUUUCGGUUAUUAUAUUAAUAAUAUAUUAGAAUUAAAUAAUAAUUAUGUAUAUUUAGACAUUGAUAUGAUGGGUCGGUUUUGGUGGAAUAUAAAUAAAAAUAAUGUAAACGAAGAAAUAAAAAGGCAAAAUAUAACUAAAGUUAAUUUACAAUUUAUAUUAAAGUGGCACCUAUAUUCAGAAAGUAAAAAUAUAUCGUUAGUAAAUGAAUCGAGGGAAGAAGAAGAAGAAGAAGAAGAAGAUGAAGAAAGUGUUGAUGGGGAUGAAUAUGAAGACGAUGUUGAAGGAUAUGACGAUGAUAAGACAUAUUCAAGCCAAGACCAAACAAGUGAAAACAUGCGGAAAAUGAAUAAUAAGAAUAAAAAAACAAAAAGAACAAAAAGAACAAAAGAAUCAGAAGGUAACAAAUUGAGUAGUGAUGAGGAAGAAGAGCAAUACAAAUACAAACAUUAUGAUAAACGAGUAAAAAGAUAUAAUGAUUAUUAUAAAAAUUUAUUAAUUGUACAAAAUCAGAACUAUAAUAGUAUUUUAUGUUUAGUAUAUUUUAUGUUCCUUGAAAAUAUAGGAUUGUUUACCAAAAAUUGUGGAGUGACCUUAUUCGGUCUGAUAUUAUCUGAAGCGAAACAUAAAAACAUGGAUAAUACGAUUUUAAUAAUUUUUGAAUUACUUAAAUUAGGUUUUUUAACAACUGAACCUAUUUUAUUACCUAAUGGUAAAUCUUACCUUGAAAAUGCAUAUGCUCCUGUUAUGCAUAAUAAAUAUUUAAAAGAGCAAGACAAAAAAAGUGUUUUAUUAUUAUCUAGGAUAUAUUCAUUAUAUAAUGCAAGUCGAGAUGAUAAAAAAGCUUAUGAUGGACUAAUUGAUUUUGAUUUAUGUGCUUUUUUUGCAGUUAUAAAAAUAAUUAAAAAAACGUUAAGACAAUUAAUGCAAGCAUGUGUUGCUAAUGUACUUAUAAGU